rnacentral:rRNA from 1 species
GACGAACGCUGGCGGCGUGCCUAAUACAUGCAAGUUGAGCGCUGAAGGUUGGUACUUGUACCCACUGGAUGAGCAGCGAACGGGUGAGUAACGCGUGGGGAAUCUGCCUUUGAGCGGGGGACAACAUUUGGAUACGAAUGCUAAUACCGCAUAAAACCUUUAAACACAAGAUUUAAGUUUGAAAGAUGCAUUUGCAUCACUCAUAGAUGAUCCCGCGUUGUAUUAGCUAGUUGGUGAGGUAAAGGCUCACCAAGGCGACGAUACAUAGCCGACCUGAGAGGGUGAUCGGCCACAUUGGGACUGAGACACGGCCCAAACUCCUACGGGAGGCAGCAGUAGGGAAUCUUCGGCAAAGGACGAAAGUCUGACCGAGCAACGCCGCGUGAGUGAAGAAGGUUUUCGGAUCGUAAAACUCUGUUGGUAGAGAAGAACGUUGGUGAGAGUGGAAAGCUCAUCAAGUAACGGUAACUACCCAGAAAGGGACGGCUAACUACGU